AGAUUGAACGCUGGCGGCAUGCCUAACACAUGCAAGUCGAACGGGGAGUAGCAAUACUCUAGUGGCGGACGGGUGAGGAAUACGUAGGAAUUUGCCCUUAAGUGGGGGAUAACCGGGAACCCGGAUAAUACCGCAUGACCUCGAAGAGCAAAGUGGGGGAUCGCAAGACCUCACGCUUUUGGAGAAGCCUACGUCGGAUUAGCUAGUUGGUGAGGUAAUGGCUCACCAAGGCGACGAUCCGUAACUGGUCUGAGAGGAUGAUCAGUCACACCGGAACUGAGACACGGUCCGGACUCCUACGGGAGGCAGCAGUGGGGAAUAUUGGACAAUGGGCGCAAGCCUGAUCCAGCAAUGCCGCGUGUGUGAAGAAGGCCUUCGGGUUGUAAAGCUAACUUUAAGUUAGGGGAAAGAAAAAACGUACGACCUACGUAACCACGAGUAGAGUACUUGAACGGUACCGAACGAAGAAAUAAGACGAACCGGACUAACUACUGUGCCAGCAGCCGAC
rnacentral:rRNA from 1 species